UACGGAGGGUGCAAGCGUUAAUCGGAAUUACUGGGCGUAAAGCGUGCGCAGGCGGUUUGUUAAGUCCGUUGUGAAAGCCCCGAGCUCAACUUGGGAAUUGCAGUGGAUACUGGCAGGCUGGAGUACGGUAGAGGAAGGUGGAAUUCCCGGUGUAGCAGUGAAAUGCGUAGAUAUCGGGAGGAACACCAGUGGCGAAGGCGAGUCCCUGGACAACUUCUGACGCUGAGGCACGAAAGCUAGGGGAGCAAACAGG
rnacentral:rRNA from 1 species